AACGAACGCUGGCGGCAUGCCUAACACAUGCAAGUCGAACGAGACCUUCGGGUCUAGUGGCGCACGGGUGCGUAACGCGUGGGAACCUGCCCUUAGGUUCGGAAUAACUCCCCGAAAGGGGUGCUAAUACCGGAUAAUGUCUUCGGACCAAAGAUUUAUCGCCUUUGGAUGGGCCCGCGUUGGAUUAGCUAGUUGGUAGGGUAAAAGCCUACCAAGGCGACGAUCCAUAGCUGGUCUGAGAGGAUGAUCAGCCACACUGGGACUGAGACACGGCCCAGACUCCUACGGGAGGCAGCAGUGGGGAAUAUUGGACGAUGGGCGGAAGCCUGAUCCAGCCAUACCGCGUGGGUGAAGAAGGCCUUCGGGUUGUAAAGCCCUUUUGUUGGGAAAGAAAAGCAGCAGGUUAAUACCCCGCUGUUCUGACGGUACCCAAAGAAUAAGCACCGGCUAACUUCGUG
rnacentral:rRNA from 1 species